CUAUAUAGUUUUAUUCAUGGACCAUAAUUUUAUAUCCGCAACGCAGGCUUCGUCAGGUGAUAGCAAACUCUAAAUCAGCUACAGGGUUCGUCACAAAACAAUACAGCGGUAAAAUCUGCAACAGGCUUCGUCAACUUACCCUAAAAAUACCUAUA